AAGAGUAGAUCAGAGUAGCCUGACAACAGAGUCAAAGAGGGACAAGUUAAAACUGCCUGAGGAGGAGAACAGAGACCUGGGGAGAAAAGCUGCUACAGAGAUCCAAUGGGAGGAGCAUAAGGUUGACAGUGAGAACUAUUAGCAGGUUGAGUGUUUUGUAUGAACAAAAAUGGUAAAAAGGGAACCACAAAAUACACGCCAUUGCAUCUAGUAAAUACUGACAAAAGAAAACAGAAAAAUUUUAAAGGGAUUGGGGAGCGGGGGCGUGGAGAAGUUUUGAAGGUAAACUCCAAGACUUCCUUCUGGAGUUGUUCCAGCACAGUGCUCUACACUCAAAGAGCUUUACAAACCAUAGAGGGAUUGUAUUAGGAAUGUAUAAAUAAUUGAUUCUUCAGCCAGUCCUUGGGCCUCAGACAUCAGGAAAAAAUGGUCAGAGUUCCAUAUUCUGUGUAGACUAUAGAAAAUUGAAUUAAGUUAUUUAGAAGGAUUCUUUUCUAUUAUUAGCAGCAGAUACUUUAGUUUUCCGCAACAGAUCUUAAAACUAGGUAUUGGCAAGUAGAAGUGGAUCCAAAGGACAGGGGAAAGACUACUUUUGCAUCUGGAGAAAUACUGUGAUUACUUAAAUUAAUGGUUUUUGGCUUGUUUAACACCCUGCCACCUUUGAGUGGCUUAUGGAAGGGUAUUGUAUGGCAUACCUGUCUCAACCUGUCUUACACCUGGAUGAUAUCCUGAUGCAUGCUGAGACUUUUCUGAGCAGGAAUUGAUACAUGUACAAAUGGUCUUUGAUAAGAUUAAGGGUGCUAAACUGAAACUGAACUGAAAUAAAUGUAAGCUAUUUCAAAAAGAUGUGACCUACCUCAGGCACACAGCUAGUGAGGAGAGAUUUACACUGUCAAAAAGACAAUUUUAGAUGUUUGGGUUUGUAAGUAUUAUAAAACCACUGGAUAGGUUGAACAAGAAGGGGAAACCAAGCUGCAAGGCCUUGAAAUCUGCUACUUCUCAGCAGAGUGGCAACAAUUUCUGCCCAAGUGGGAACUCAGACUGACCCUGGCUGGAGAUGAGCCAUUUAAUAGCAAACGAAAGGGCAGCAGAAGGAGACCUUUAAGGAGAAGAAAAUAAUCCAGGAAUUAAAGGAUGGGUGAAAGCCCUAGGAUACUACCCAGACUAUCCAAAAAGGCUCAGUUCACUUCCUCGAGAGGUGAAGAAACAAUCAUCUAUAAUUUGAGCAGACUGAAAUGUGGCAAAUAUAUUUUGGGGAGUACAGAGGAAGGUACAACUGUCGAAAUGAGGAUAUAAAUAAAUUUUUUGCAUAGGAAUAAUCAAGAUAGCACCAGGUACAGAUCCACAAUGAGAGGAAGAUUUACAGAUCUGGGAGACAUGGAGGAACAAGGGUGAAUGUGAGGCAUCAAACAGACAGAGAGAGAUGAUGGGAUUUUGGGGUGAAGGCUCUUCUCAUUGAGUACAAAGAUAUCAGCUUUGGAUACAUUGAGCCAAAAGACUUAUGGUGAAGCCAAGGAGUUCCUAUUUUAUUACUUCAGAAUGUGAAACUCUAAUCUACAUAAAUAACCUUG